rnacentral:rRNA from 1 species
AUUGAACGCUGGCGGCAGGCCUAACACAUGCAAGUCGAACGGAGCGGCGGACGGGUGAGUAAUGCCUAGGAAUCUGCCUGGUAGUGGGGGAUAACGUCCGGAAACGGGCGCUAAUACCGCAUACUAUCAGAUGAGCCUAGGUCGGAUUAGCUAGUUGGUGGGGUAAAGGCCUACAAAGGCGACGAUCCGUAACUGGUCUGAGAGGAUGAUCAGUAAGAGUGGAACGGGGACACGGUCCAGACGCCAACGGGCGGCAGCGGUGGGGAAUAUUGGACAGUGGGCGAACGCCUGAUCCAGACAUGCCGGGUGUGUGAAGAAGGUCUUCGGAUUGUAAAGCACUUUAAGUUGGGAGGCGUUACCAACAGAAUAAGCACCGGCUAACUUCGUGCCAGCAGCCGAGGUAAUUC